GGCCAAAGGAAGUCGUACAAUAAUAUCCGAGAAACCCUCCGGCAGAUUCUGAUGAGAUAAGACACUGCUAUGAUUUCAUUACAUGACUAUCCUUUACAAAGGAAAUCAAAAGGUUUGUAAUGCACUCAAGAAGGACGAUAGACCGAAAGAGACACACGAGAUUCGCUGUCCAAAGCUAAGAGCAUAAAAUAUGAAUGGCUUGAAAAUUCUUGCCCAUAGCUAAGGUAAGAUGCCUAUGUCAACUAUGAGUCUAUAACAAAUGGAGCUUAUAGACAAGUCUUCCAAAACAUAUAGGCACAGAGCGAAAGGAUUUCAACCCUGAACGUGAAUUGUUUUCAUAUCAGAUGAGUCUUCGCUUUCCAUGCUUUUCAGAUUCCUGUGUUCACUCAUAUUUUUUAUUGGUGAAAGUUCUUAUUCCAGUUGACAA